rnacentral:rRNA from 1 species
UACGAAGGGUGCAAACGUUGCUCGGAAUUAUUGGGCGUAAAGAGCUCGUAGGCGGUCUGUCGCGUCGGAUGUGAAAACCCAGGGCUCAACCCUGGGCCUGCAUUCGAUACGGGCAGACUAGAGUUCGGUAGGGGAGACUGGAAUUCCUGGUGUAGCGGUGAAAUGCGCAGAUAUCAGGAGGAACACCGGUGGCGAAGGCGGGUCUCUGGGCCGAAACUGACGCUGAGGAGCGAAAGCGUGGGGAGCAAACAGG